rnacentral:rRNA from 1 species
GUGAGUAGUUCAGAGUUUGAUCCUGGCUCAGGACGAACGCUGGCGGCAUGCCUAACACAUGCAAGUCGAACGGAACUUGUUGAAUGAAGUUUUCGGAUGGAUUUUAGCAAGUUUAGUGGCGGACGGGUGAGUAACGCGUGAGCAACCUGCCUUUCAGAGGGGGACAACAGUUGGAAACGACUGCUAAUACCGCAUAACGUAUCGGAACCGCAUGGCUCUGAUACCAAAGAUUUUAUCGCUGAAAGAUGGGCUCGCGUACGAUUAGAUAGUUGGUGAGGUAACGGCUCACCAAGUCGACGAUCGUUAGCCGGACUGAGAGGUUGAACGGCCACAUUGGGACUGAGACACGGCCCAG